AAAAAACGAUUCUGAGAUAAUCGCGUUUAAAUAUUCAAGUACUAGACGAUUGCGCACACCGGGCGGUCAGUUGAAAUACCCAUAGCUACGAAUCUGAUGCUCGGAUCUUUAUGAAAUUUGAUGAAAAUAUUCUUCAGACAUUGUACUUGAAGAAUAUCUAAUAAAAAAAAAUUUCGAUUUUCCCGCCCGUCACAAGUGUAUAUAAUGCCUUAAGCAUGGAUUCCACCAACGAUGUAAUCAGUUACUCCACGAAAAUAUCGAAUUUCCUUUCCCAAGUAAUUUUUCAAAGCAUCCCUUCCUUUUCAAGGAAUUUUUUCCAUUGAAUUACACACAAUGGAAGUCCAUCUUAAACUAUCCUCUCCGAUGUCACUUAAUGAGAGCGCCAUGUAAUUAAAUUUUAUCGCUGCAUAUGAAAAGACUUUGUGCUGAAGAGAAUAUUCGUGUAAUUAUUUAUCUUAGAGUGGAAAGAAUGGAGCCCCAUUGGAGAGUGCAGCUCAGAGAUUGAGGAGAAAACCCUGCCACGGUCUCAUUCAAAUCCGAGUAUCGCAAUUUUUCAUCACAAACGUCGUCAAGAUCAGUCACUUGCAACGAAGGCUCUUGCGUUUAACUCGAUCAACUUUCGAAGCAUUAGAAAACCCCAGGGCUGGCGCCAUCCACAACAGUAUCGGAUCCUCGGAAUCUGGGGAGCAGAACUUUUGGAUACGUCAAGAGUGUUUCCGUCAUCGCCAACUACAUUAUCGUCCUUCUAAGGUCACGGAGACUGUUUGGAAUUUGUGGUAGAACGUUCGAAAACAGGAAGCUAGUAAAAAAGCUUGUCAAGUCGAAGCCACUGUGGAACUUAUGACAGCUGAUAUCCAAGUCCCCUCAUAGACGGCCAUGUUUCCAGGUGUAUAUCUAUGUGUGAGCUCGACUAUUUGCUGGAAGUUUCUCUUCAGGAAUCGAGAGCAUACUUCGUGUAGUGACAGACGAGUCGACCUGUCGUUUCUACCUCUCGUAAGACACUCGACACACAAAGAUUCACCGGAAAGUUGUUGCGGUGAAAAAAGUUGUUUGAGCCACAGUCCGAGAUGAGAAAAAGACGAAGAUUGAGUGGAGGAGAAGAAAAAGGUGUGGGCGUGAGUGAAUGGUAAGAGGGGAUGAAAAAAAAUGACAGAUCUGCCUCCAGGGUCAAUAAACCUUUUUUCAUUGACCGUUGAUAGACCUCGAGUUUCUCUUUCCCUGAGGAACGUUUUCUUUACGAAAGUCGAGCGAAAAUCACGGCAGCAAGGAACAUCGACGAAAAAUGUGAAGUUGGGAGCUGAAGAUAAAAUUAAACUGAACUGAAAUAAGAGUCUGAAACUCCUUUUCCCACUGGGAAAAAAAGUCGGAUAUUUCUCUGAUGAUUUGAGAAACAUUGUUAGA